rnacentral:rRNA from 1 species
UACAGAGGUCCCAAGCGUUGUUCGGAUUUACUGGGCGUAAAGGGCGCGUAGGCGGCCAGCACAAGUCAGUUGUGAAAUCUCCGAGCUUAACUCGGAACGGUCAACUGAUACUGUGCGACUAGAGUGCAGAAGGGGCAACUGGAAUUCUUGGUGUAGCGGUGAAAUGCGUAGAUAUCAAGAGGAACACCUGCGGCGAAGGCGGGUUGCUGGGCUGACACUGACGCUGAAGCGCGAAAGCCAGGGGAGCGAACGGG